AUGUGUCCUCGGCGCCGCCGCACCUCUCCGCCGCCUGCCUCUCUGCCAGACGACGACGAUCUGCUCCGUGAGAUUCUCCUCCGCCUUCCCUCGCGGCCUUCCUCCCUCCCCCGGGCAUCCCUCGUCUGCAAGCAUUGGCGCUGCCUCGUCGCCGAUCCCCAAUUCCAACGCUGCUUCCGCGACCACCACGGCAAGCCUCCUCUGCUUGGCUUCUUCGUCAACGAUGUAUAUCACCCGUCUCCGUUUGUCCCAAUGCUAGAUCGACCAGAUCGCAUCCCCGGCGCUCGCUUCUCCAUGCCUCUCCACAAGGGCAACCGCAUCAUCGACUGCCGCCAUGGACUUGUACUUCUCCUUAGCUCAAGGCAAAAAACAGGGCCGCCGAUCCGCCUAUUUGUGUGGGACCCCGUCGCCCGCGAGCAACGCCGCGUGAUCCUCCCACCAGAGCUAGACCGCUACCAUAUGUUCAUCUUCAACGGGGCGGUGCUUCGCUCUGCCCGCGGUCACGGCCAUUUCCAGGUGGCCCUGGUAGCCCAUUACGUACUUGCUGGUAAUCCUACAAGAGUUUUCGCAUGCCUUUACUCGUCGGAGAACGGCAUAUGGAGCAAUAUCAACUCACUGCAGCUGCAAAAGUUUGAGGCCACACCAGAAGAAUCCAGUACUUUGAGUGGGAAUUCCAUUUGCUGGUUAAAUCAUGUGGUGGGUCAUGACAAUAGUCGUCGGUAUGUCAUACUUGAGCUGGAUCUGGAUAGGCAAAGCCUAGCUGUGACAGAGCUGCCACCACAAAUAGAAGCCGACUAUGCCUACAAGUUAAGGAUUAUGCCCGCGGAGGAUGGUGGGCUUGGCUUCAUCGUUCUCUCAGGGUUGCAGUUGCACGCCCAAUUAUGGAAGAGAAAGCCUGAUUCUGAUGGUUUGGCUGUAUGGGUGCUCGACAGAACUAUUGAAUUCAAGGGGCUCCCUUCAAAUCGGGAGGGAUACUACCUCUGUUUAGUGGGGUUUGCCGAGGAGAGUAAUGCAAUCCUUUUAAAGUUAGGUCUUUGUUUCUUCAUGGUCUAUCUCCAGUCAAUGGAGUUGAAGAAACUUUCCAAAAUGAACUUCUUAGGUCGCCAUUAUCCAUUUGAAUAUUGCUAUGCCGCAGGUAAUAGCAAGCCUUUAUAUAAUUUUGUUCGCAGUAUAAUAAAAUUGUGA
rnacentral:rRNA from 1 species